GAUGAGCAGCGCGGGUUCCUGUCCUUCGUGAAAAUCGUGAUCUCAUUUCUCCGUCCAAGGGCGAAAGCCAGUGAUCACCCAGCCAUUUACACUUUCCACUUGCGUUAGCAAAGCCCAGGUAACCCUGCGGCAUUCAUUCACAGGCUGGAAGCGGAGGGCUGGCAUUUUCAUUUCACCAUCUGGAGGAAAUUUUGGAGCUAAACAGUAUCUUUCUUUCCCCUUGAAAUAUUUCCUCCUGAGAUUUAAGGAGGUUGGACGUUCCCCCAUGAAGAGAGAACCACAGCAAGGGAGAGGAAGAGGAUGGUUCUCUUGGUUCCCAUGAGACGGGAAUGUUUCCACUUUUUCUCCAGGUUCUCUGCAGAAGGCAGUAAGAUGCUCCAGAGAAUGUUUGUGGAAAGGAUGAAUGAACAGGAAAGCAGCUGAAGGAAAAGGACAGAAAGAGACGGAGAAGCCACCAAUGCAGGAAUUGUCAUAAACAACUAGUAGCAUCUCUCUAUAAAGAAGAGCUUUCUUUCAUCACCUGGAGAUGAGCCUCUGUUCCUUCUAUAAGAUGCUGCCUGGGGUCUUGGAAUCCAAAUUCCCAAAGAGGAAGCAUUUGGGCCAUCUUCUUAGAAGCACACUCGUCACAUUGGAUCAGGGGCCUACGCUACUCCAGUGUGACCUCAUCUUAACUAACUACACCUGCUGUGACCCUAUUUCCAAAUAAGGUCCCAUUCUGAGGAAGCUGCUGGGUUGUGAGCUGUCCUAUGGAGACACCCGUAUGGCAAGGAAGAGAGGGUGGCCUCUGGCUAAUGGCCCACAAAGACUGGAAAUCUACCAACCACCACUUACGUGAUUGUGGAAGCUAAUCUAUCUACUCCUUUAGCUGAGCCUUGAGAUGACGGAAACUUUGUGAGGAACCCAGAGCCAGAGGACCCAGUUAAGAUGCUCCUGGACUCCUGCCCCACAGAAACUUCAAGAUAAUAAAUGCUCCAAUUUUAAGCCACUAUUUGUGGGAUAAUUUGUUAUGCAGCAAUAGAUAACCAAUACAGAAUCCCAACCCUGGAUAUGUCUUGAUCUAGGAAAUAUUGCCAAGUUGAAAACUGAAUGGUUUGGUUGAAAUGUGGAAGUGACCUGCUCUGUAGAGAGAGAACUCUAAAUCAGAAUUUAAAAUAAUGCAGUUAAUACCAAAGUUUUUCAUUUAAAAGGCAUUUUGGCAUCGACUUCUUUUAAUUCCUCAUUUUGAUUCAACAAAGAGAUGACAGGUUUCCCUUUGAAUUUACUUAUUUUUAGUGCUUUCUUUAAAAAAAAAAUUGUAUCUGCACAUGAGUAUUUAGAAUGUGUCAAAUUAAAGACAGACUGCCUAGAUAAAAUUGGGCAGAUGAUGGGUGGAAUUAUAACAUAGAUUUAUAUUUUACAACAUUUAAACCAACACUGGUUUGAUUUCCAUACCUGAUUGUCCACCAAAAAUCUGUCCUCCCUGCUUUCACAGAAAUAUAGUUAAAGCUGGACAUAGGCUGUCCUGCUAGAGAUAAUAUUUGCAAGCCUGUCUUGGGCCAUGUGACUGUGUUCUUACUAAUGGAACCUAAGCCGCUGCUCAGGACACUCAGGAAUUUCAGAUGUGCCCAUCACCCAGCUUCAAUCAUGCAGAAGACGACAGUGACCUUGGGCUUGGUCCCAGGGGGGGUGGGGCAAGGGUCAUGAUGAAAAGAAUCUGAGUUACUGUGUACUGUCAUGGAGCAGGGCCUCCUACUAACCCAGACUUCUCACCUUGGAACUCUUAUAUGAAAGGGAAAUA